rnacentral:rRNA from 1 species
AACGCGAAGAACCUUACCUGGUCUUGACAUGUCAGGAACCCUAUAGAGAUAUGGGGGUGCCUUCGGGAACCUGAACACAGGUGCUGCAUGGCUGUCGUCAGCUCGUGUCGUGAGAUGUUGGGUUAAGUCCCGCAACGAGCGCAACCCUUGUGAACUGUUGCUACCCAGCACUUCGGUGUUGGGGCACUCUGUUCAGACUGCCCUGUGAAACGGGGAGGAAGGUGGGGACGACGUCAAGUCAGGAUGGCCCUUACGCCCAGGGCUGCACACGUACUACAAUGCUCAGUACAGAACGAACCGAAAUCGCGAGGUGGAGGAAAUCACUAAAACUGAGCCCAGUUCGGAUUGUAGGCUGCAACUCGCCUACAUGAAGCCGGAAUCGCUAGUAAUGGCGUAUCAGCUACGACGCCGUGAAUACGUUCCCGGGCCUUGUACACACCGCGUGUCU